AUGGGUGCUUAUGAAAUUGAAUCUAUGUUCAAAGAAUAUGAAAAUCUUUAUGAUGUUGUCUACAGACCUGAAAAUUUAGCUAUCCUUAAAUAUUGUUAUGAGAAUUAUGAAUACAAUUCCGAUAUUGAUGCGUUUGUUGAGAAAGUCUCCGCUGUCCCAAAAGAGACUAAUACUUUGCAGGAGUCUAUGGAAGAAGAAAUUGAUGAAACUGUGAGCUCAUUGGAUGAAAAAGAUGAAGAGGAGAGCGAAGAACAAAAGGAGGAAGAGCGGAUUGAUCACCCUUGCCCACCUUCUAAUGAGAGUAACUCUUCAACUCAUACAUUAUUUAAUUUCCCUUCAUGCUUACCGAAGGAUGAAUGCUAUGAUAAUUGCUACGAUCCCGUUGAUUCUUUUGAAAUAUCCCUCUUUGAUGAUGCUUGCUAUGCUUGUGGCCAAGAUGCCAAUAUGAAUUAUGCUUAUGGAGAUGAACUUGCUAUAGUUACUUAUGUUAAACAUGAAAUUGUUGCUAUUGCACCAACACAUGAUAGUCCUAUUAUCUUUUUGAAUUCUCCAAACUACACUAUAUCGGAGAAGUUUGUGCUUAUUAAGGAUUAUAGUGAUGGGUUGCCUUUUAGUACUACACAUGAUGAUUUUGAUGAGUAUAAUAUGCAUGUGCUUUCUGCUCCUACUUGCAAUUAUUAUGAGAGAGGAACUAUAUCUCCACCUCUCUAUGUUUCCCACAUGAUAAAAUUGCAAGAAACUAUUUAUACUAUGCAUUGGCCUUUACUAUGUGUGCAUGAAUUGUUCUUUUAUGACAUGCCGAUGCAUAGGAAGAGAGUUAGAUUUCGUCAUUAA
rnacentral:rRNA from 1 species